AUUGAACGCUAGCGGGAUGCCUUACACAUGCAAGUCGAACGGCAGCACGAACUUCGGUCUGGUGGCGAGUGGCGAACGGGUGAGUAAUGUAUCGGAACGUGCCCAGUAGCGGGGGAUAACUACUCGAAAGAGUAGCUAAUACCGCAUACGCCCUACGGGGGAAAGGGGGGGAUCGCAAGACCUCUCACUAUUGGAGCGGCCGAUAUCGGAUUAGCUAGUUGGUGGGGUAAAGGCCCACCAAGGCGACGAUCCGUAGCUGGUUUGAGAGGACGACCAGCCACACUGGGACUGAGACACGGCCCAGACUCCUACGGGAGGCAGCGGUGGGGAAUUUUGGACAAUGGGGGCAACCCUGAUCCAGCCAUCCCGCGUGUGCGAUGAAGGCCUUCGGGUUGUAAAGCACUUUUGGCAGGAAAGAAAUCGCAUGGGUUAAUACCCUGCGUGGAUGACGGUACCUGCAGAAUAAGCACCGGCUAACUACGUGCCAGCAGCCGCCGUAA
rnacentral:rRNA from 1 species